rnacentral:rRNA from 1 species
UACGAAGGGGGCUAGCGUUGUUCGGAUUUACUGGGCGUAAAGCGCAUGUAGGCGGGUCGCUAAGUUGGGGGUGAAAUCCCGAGGCUCAACCUCGGAACUGCCUCCAAAACUGGCGACCUGGAGCAAAUGAGAGGCGAGUGGAAUUCCGAGUGUAGAGGUGAAAUUCGUAGAUAUUCGGAGGAACACCAGUGGCGAAGGCGACUCGCUGGCAUUUUGCUGACGCUGAGAUGCGAAAGCGUGGGGAGCAAACAGG